rnacentral:lncRNA from 12 species
GUUUGUUAAUUUCAAAAACCUCACUAGUUGAAUAAAGAGUUUAAUACAGGUAUACAAAAAAGGAAGCCCCAUUAGGGUUUCAUUAGGAUGAAAUGGGAUUAGCUUUGUAGUUCUCAUAAUCCUCUUCACAGAAGAAUGCAAUUUCAGUUUCAUUGUUGAUUCUAGCUUUCAGAUUACUACCUUCUUUUAACAGGGGUCUGUCAUUUUUCAAACUCAACACAAGUUAAUCUGUCUUUGAUUUAUUGCUUGAUGAGUUGUCUUUAGUUUAUCAUAUUUAUAAUUUCUGAAUGGUGGUGCAGGCUGGUCCUUAAAGAGGCAUCUUGCUUUAGAAAUACUCUAAAUUCCUUUACAUUGUACUCCAAAUUAACUCCAUGAUCUACUACAGGUUUGUAUUUGUGAUUCUCAGAUGAAUGAAUGAGACAAACUGUAAUGGUCACUUCUCCAGAAGUCAUGUGAAGAAAUUCCUUUUGAUCCAAAAUUUCAUUCACAGUUUCUUCACACAGUACAUAAAAUAUCACUGGUGUUCAGGUAGACUACUGGAAAGCAAAUGUGCACCAGAUCCAUACCAAAGGGACUGAGACUUGAAUGAGAGCCAGAAAUGACCUAUACAAUGGACAAUAGACACCAGAGUAUUUUACCUUCAAAAAGGGAGAUUCCUAAAAACUGGUGAGUCAAUUGUAGCUUUGUGCGUGUAUCUUUCCUGGGAAUUUUUCAGUCCUUUUUAUUUUAGAUGGCUUAGAGACAAGCUGUUUGAUAAGACACAGUGUUUGCUGAUCUUUGCAGGGCUCAAAUGGGAUCUAUAUGCAGAAAGUCCCUACCAGGUAGUUUGGGGCCUGCUCUGUAGAACAGAGAUUCUUGCAAAAUUCUUUAUAGCAAAGUUUUUCCCCAUCUCUUUGAUCUCCUAUUUCUCUUUAAACAUACACUGACACAGACAGGGAGAGAGAACAAUGAUUUCAACAUCUUAAAGUUAACUGAGGUGGAAUAAUAAAGGUUUUAUUUAGUGGUCUUUAUCCUUUCUA